rnacentral:snRNA from 12 species
AGCUUUGCGCAAUGGCAGUAUCGUAGCCCAUGAGGUUUAUCCAAGGCAUGAUUAGUGCUAAUUGAUAUAGUCUUGUUUAUUUUUUCUUUUGUUUUCCUUGCUUGAAGAGAUAUAUCCAAAAAGAU